rnacentral:tRNA from 1 species
CGGGGUGUAGCGCAGCUUGGUAGCGCGUUUGGUUCGGGACCAAAAGGUCGCCGGUUCAAGUCCGGCCACCCCGA